rnacentral:rRNA from 1 species
UACGUAGGGUGCGAGCGUUAAUCGGAAUUACUGAGCGUAAAGCGUGCGCAGGCGGUUUUGUAAGCCAGAUGUGAAAUCCCCGGGCUCAACCUGGGAAUGGCAUUUGGGACUGCAAGGCUGGAGUGCGGCAGAGGAGACUGGAAUUCCUGGUGUAGCAGUGAAAUGCGUAGAUAUCAGGAGGAAUACCGAUGGCGAAGGCAGGUCUCUGGGCUGACACUGACGCUCAUGCACGAAAGCGUGGGGAGCAAACAGG